AUCUUUAGAUUAUAAUUUUAUUGGGGUUCAUGUGGGUUCUGUAAUAGAUGCAUAAUUUGCUCUUGUCUUUUCCCCAUUUUUUUUUAGCUCCUCGACAAUUGUUCCCAAGCUGGUCACCAUCUUUUUUUCGAAGGACCUUCUCCGCCUCUCCUUAAGUCGCCGCCAUCUCUCCAGAUUUGGCCUUACCAGGGACUCAAGCACAGCAGUCCUUCUCUCUGCAUGCUCUUCAUAAGCGUCCAGGAAUUAAUUUGAUGCAAUACCUUGAGAUUCAUGCCUGUCUGACUGGAAGGAAGAGGAUGAAGGUUGAAUGGAUGCUGAAGGGUUUCCACACACUGCACCAGGUUGCAGAGUGGAAGGUGGUGGGUCCUUGACAGUGGAGGUAAGUGGUACAGGGGGCCUAGUGGUAGUAAUGGGACACUGGCUGGUGGAUGGUGGAGGUGGU